rnacentral:pre_miRNA from 1 species
UCUUAUGGAUGAGCAGAGAGUGGUUUCUUGAGAUGGAAACUACUCCUGGUGAAGAUGCUGGGAA